rnacentral:rRNA from 1 species
GGGUUAGUAACGCGUGGGAACGUGCCCUUCUCUACGGAACAGUCCCGGGAAACUGGGUUUAAUACCGUAUACGCCCUUCGGGGGAAAGAUUUAUCGGAGAAGGAUCGGCCCGCGUCUGAUUAGAUAGUUGGUGGGGUAACGGCCUACCAAGUCGACGAUCAGUAGCUGGUUUGAGAGGAUGAUCAGCAACACUGGGACUGAGACACGGCCCAGACUCCUACGGGAGGCAGCAGUGGGGAAUCUUAGACAAUGGGCGCAAGCCUGAUCUAGCCAUGCCGCGUGAGUGAUGAAGGCCUUAGGGUCGUAAAGCUCUUUCGCUGGGGAAGAUAAUGACGGUACCCAGUAAAGAAACCCCGGCUAACUCCGUGCCAGCAGCCGCGGUAAUACGGAGGGGGUUAGCGUUGUUCGGAAUUACUGGGCGUAAAGCGCGCGUAGGCGGAUUAGAAAGUUGGGGGUGAAAUCCCGGGGCUCAACCCCGGAACUGCCUCCAAAACUACUAGUCUAGAGGUCGAGAGAGGUGAGUGGAAUUCCGAGUGUAGAGGUGAAAUUCGUAGAUAUUCGGAGGAACACCAGUGGCGAAGGCGGCUCACUGGCUCGAUACUGACGCU